rnacentral:misc_RNA from 1 species
AGAAGGAGAAAAAAGGACACCGUCAAGACCAUCCUGUGCCGUUGCGCAUAAAGUCGUCAUUCUCUCGACUAGUCACAGAAUAGCGACGUCAUGGAAGGCAGAAAUCUUCGCUGUAGGUCCAGAGAUUUUCAUCCCUGGAAAUCAUCUGCAGGUUUCCUGAUACCAGCACCCCCCGGGAGCAAAGCGGCAUCUUUGUGUCAUUAUUACCAAGGGACGAAAACGUCGGUCGUUGGCAAGGGGACACUUUUAACUUUACCGACGUCGUUCGCGUCAAAGAAAAGUCGAUGGACACUUGGCGGACCCUGAAGCGACGCCAAUAAUUCUUUGAAAGACUGAAUUAUCCUUCCAGUGUUGUAUUUUCAUUUAUUUUGGGAAAUAAUGGAAACUAUUUGAACUACGUUAGCACGUUGAAUGAGAGUAAAAGCUUUGAUGUGACUUCUUUAUUUAUGAAAGAUUGUUUGUCAAAGAUUGUACUUCUUUCUCCUUUUAAUCAUUUCAUAAGUUAGACAUUUUAAUCGCUGGUUUCAAACAGCAUGAAUUUCGAAUAUGAAAAAUCGUAUAAUUUUAAAAUUAUUGGCGAAAAGAAAUGUUGGGAGUUUUUUUCUUUCUAGAAAUACGAUUGUAUUAAUUUUAAGCAUGCCCAAUGGACACGGUACUAAAAGCUGAAUAGAUGAGAGAUAUGGGAACGACCUGAAUUUAAUCUGAAAAUGUAUCUCGAAUAAUUGUAUUAAUUCAUUUCAUGAUUUACGUCUGGGAAUCUUCAAAAUCGUUAAUUAGUAUUAUUUCAAUCUUUAAAUUACUAAUUGAAAGAAAACUAGGAUUUAAAGAUACGUUUAAAUUUUUUCUAUAUCCCAUUCAGCACGUUGUCUACUAAGGCUCUUGAACGCGAAGCUUUUUUGCUCGAAAAAUAUGCCGAGGUCGAUUCGAUUCACUAUGCCGUCAAGAUGACCAGAAUGCGGAAAAGCAUUACGACUAAUUCGUGGCGUCAGGAAGGAAUGGAUUCCGAAGUAUGAAGUCGUAUAAGCAACAGCUACCGGCAGUUUGGUGAUAAAGGUGUAAGGACAUCGAUUAAUACUCGUUUUCAUAGCUGUAGUAAAAGCGGGUAACACGAUUACAGGCAA